UUAACUUGUAAUUUUGCUGCACCUGGCUUUCUCUUAUUUGAUGUUUUAACACAACUUAUUUGAUAUUGGAAGCGCAAAAAAAUGUUGAUUAAAUUAAGUUUUAUUUAAUUUUGGAAGUUAGUUGUAUUUUUAUCGGUCAAUUGGAUUUUAUAGAAGGUCUUAGUUAAUUAUGUUAUUAGUACUUAAUUUUCUAGUGUCAAGGUUAUUUUUGUAAUUCAAUAACUGGGAUUUCCCAAGUCAACUAGAGUUAGGGUUUGGUUUUAGCAGUUUGUAUAAACAGAGCAUUCUACUCCUAUGGAGUUAGUUUACAGUUGCUUGAUUAAUAAAAAACUAUAUCGGAAGUUUUCCAAUGGUUUAGUGUUGACUUCAUUCCACCCUAGGUGCCAACUCCUAGGAUUUUUUUUUUUAAUUUUUUAUGUUUUCAAUUUUUGUGUAGCAUCAAGUUUUGGUUGUCUUGCGUCACAAUUUGGUAUCAGAGCAAAAUUUUGUCCUGUUUGAAGUAUCGCUGUGGUUCGCAACUAGAAUUGAAAACGAAAAACUCUGUUAUAAACCCACCCUAUCUGACACCAACUAUCUUCUUCCUCAACCGUCCUGCCACCAUCAACAAAACCAAAAAAAAAUACCACCAUCUAUCUGUCGUGACCCAAUCAUCACAAGCUUGAUCAUCAAUCAACACCCAGGCCAACACCUAUUCCAUCACCAAAUCCCUUACAUAGUGCAAUCCACCAAAAAGCAGAAUUGCCAAUCUUUGAAGGCUCCAAACCAACAAUCUUGAUUUUUUCUCAAUCUGUGUUUGAGCUUGGUGAGAGAGUGUAAUUAAAGCGUGUGUGUGUUUAGCAGUUAGUUUGUUUCUCAAAAAACAAUUUCAUCAACCCCAGUACACUACCACGACUACUAAUGCCUGUUGUGAAACCUCUUCCCCCAACAUUGAUUGGCCACAAAGAUUUCUCAUGCCUUGAUUGUUGCCUCUGGUCCAUUACUGUCCCAUCAGAAAUUCAUUGCCACCAAGUUUCCCUGGAAGCCAUGUCGCUUGUCACUGCCAAACCACACCACUGCAAGGACCGCCACAAUACCCUGUUAGUAUUGUCCCGUCGCCAUUACCCUUGGUCCAUACUUAAUGCUUUGUUAUUAAAACUUAGCCAGAUUACUUUGCAUGCCACCACCAUCAUCCCUGUGCGUCCCAUUUUCUGACUUGCUAUGUCCAAGAAUUGUUGUCACUGGGUUAUAAACCUUUGAAGUCGCACAUAUCCCUGGGUUUCAAAGACUUGACCCAUAUGACAACCUUGAUUCCGGGCCUGACCCACUUAAACAGAACUUAUAAGUAGGGGUGUUCAAGGUGCUGUUUUGAUCCAUUUUUAUCACUGCACUGCACAGUGCAGUUUGGCCAAAACCAUCAUCGCACUGUGCCUCAAUUUUGCAGUCACAUGUGCAUUGCGAUUUAUCACAGUGUGGUUUGGUGUUUUGGGGUGGGACAUUUUUCAAAAUUUUGGGAUCGGCUUAGCCAAAUUUUAAAAUGUUGGGCUUAUUUUUCUUUGUUUUGGGCUGAUUAAGAGUAGCCCAACAAGUUUUUAGGUGUGAAAGGGCCCAUCUUUAUAAUAGUAUUACUUCAUAAUACACACACACACACACGGGUGUGGUAAGGUUUUGUGUAGUUUUCUUAACGUAGAACCAUGCACUGUGCGGUGCGGUGUAGUUACUCCAUUUUGUGGGUAGUUUUGGUCAGUUUAGGUGCGGUUUGAGUGGUUUGGUGAACACCCCUACUUAUAAGCCCUUGAUCCGACUCAUAUAUAAAUAAGCCAUGUCAAGCCUAGUCAUUCUUGACCUGAUAAAAAAAAACUUAAAAAACCUUUGUCUGAUCAAAACCAUUAAAAAAAUCCUUGUACCUGACCUUGCCGAACCCAAACACAACACCAGUUGCUACUUUUGAUUAAUCUACCAUAGUCCAAACCCUAGAGAAGCUCGUGAAAAUUGUCUAGAACAUAUUUGCAAAGUUAGAUAAGCACAUUAGAAGGUAUGGUCAACAGAAUAUCCAAUUAGACAUAAUGAUAACUUCCAUCCAAGGGCUGCCUGAUAAUCUUGAAGGUAAAAUUUCAUAAAUUGAGACAAUUAUGUUGGGCCACCAAAUUUUUUUUCUGAAAUAGAAGUAAAAGUACCAGCAAAUGUUGCUUUAACUUUCGUGCUAAAGCCUAAACAGUAAGGUGAAGUAUUUAAACUAUGUGUAGCAGAUAUAAUAAAGCCUGUUUCUUUUCCUGCUUUUAAGUUCAGUUGGGUCCAGAGAAACUGCAAUUAUGCAGCCCAUGUAGCUGCUAGAUUUGCUUUAAGCUCUUGUCAAUCUUUUUGUUUCAAUAAAGGUAACCUCCCACCUCAUAUCGAGUCUGUUUGUAGGGUGAAUUACCUAACUCUUAGCUCCAUAAAAGUUUAAUGUUAUUGAAGUUUAGCAAAAAAAAGGAAGAUUUCUCACUACUUGAGGAGAAAGUUCAGCAAGAGAGCAAAUACAGGGUGCACAUAUGGAAUAUGAGUUUGAUGCAUUUGUUAUUGAUCAACCCUCUGAGGUGCAUGAAGAUAAAAAGCUGGAUGAAGUGGAAACUUUGAUACACUGUUUCUUUUUGUGGUUCAAGAUAAGGCUAUAACAGUUGCAAUGAUUAUUCCACAUAUUGAUUUUGUAAUUCUAGAAGAAUUUAAUGAUUUGGUGGAAGAUAAGCCUUCUAUUUUCUCAGUGCUAUCAAAGGUGAUUCCAGAACUAAAGUAUCUAGAGCCAUAAUUCUUAUCAUUCAACACUUCAACUUGAGGAAAAGUUUUCUCCAACCAUGGGAGAAUGGAAGUUGAGAAGAAGGCUAGGACACAAUUUAAAGGAUUAUUUGACAAGAAACCAGGGUAAAUCGCUGUUGCUGGGGCUGAAGAUGAAGAAGAUACUGAUGCAGGUGAAAACCAUAACAAUUUUGAUACGGAGGAUUAAGAUGCAAAUAAUUCAGAGGAAUCACAUGAAGCUGCAGCUGAUGAACGUCAAAGGGGUUGGUUCUCCCUCUUCUGGCCCAGUAGUGGAAGGCUAUUUUCAGCUCUUGGACUGCAAAGAUCUUCUAUAUUAUGAUUUUUGUAUCAAACUAAUCCUGGGGUUAGGACAUCUUACUUGUAAUCCAUUGGCUGCAGUGGUGCUUUUAAUUUGCUUGGCUGCUGGGGAAAAUACAAAAAAAGAAUCUGGUGUAGUUACCAUAUGUAUACCAAGAAAUAGAAAGUAAUGUUAGAAUUCAAGCACAUACACAGCUUCAACAAUGGAGGAAUGGAGGGUUGAAGCAUGGAAGAGAGAGAGAGGGUUUGUAUGUGAAUGAUUCUGUUUAUUGAUAUAAUUAACAAACUCUGGUUCUUAUAUAAGAAGAACAGAGACGCGGGAAACUCUAACAAAUAACUAACAAAAGUCUAAGCCAAUAGAAAACUAACACCUGUCAACUAACACUAUAACUCUACUAGCUUUGUACAAACGACAUGUAGCUUUAUCAUUUAUAAUACAUAAAACGACCUAUAGCUUUAGACUAUAUACAAAAUUCUUCUUCUUCUUGAACCUCAUAGAAAUGAUUUAACAUAUCUGUCUUUGGCACUUUUUAGAUUUAUGUAUUCGAAUAAGAACUGGUAGUGGUAGAUAGAUAUCAGAGUUGGGUGA